GAUGAACGCUAGCUACAGGCUUAACACAUGCAAGUCGCGGGGCAGCAUGUUGGUUGCUUGCAACCGAUGAUGGCGACCGGCGCACGGGUGAGUAACGCGUAUCCAACCUACCUAUUACCACGGGAUAACCCGGCGAAAGUCGGACUAAUACCGUAUGUGGUCUUCAAGUGGCAUCAGCAGUAGACUAAAGGUUUGGCGGUAAUAGAUGGGGAUGCGUCCGAUUAGUUAGUUGGCGGGGUAACGGCCCACCAAGACGUCGAUCGGUAGGGGUUCUGAGAGGAAGGUCCCCCACACUGGAACUGAGACACGGUCCAGACUCCUACGGGAGGCAGCAGUGAGGAAUAUUGGUCAAUGGGCGUAAGCCUGAACCAGCCAAGUAGCGUGCAGGAUGACGGCCCUAUGGGUUGUAAACUGCUUUUAUGCAAGAAUAAAUUAGCUCACGUGUGGGUU
rnacentral:rRNA from 1 species